ensembl:lncRNA
UAGAAAGCAUAUACCAUGGAAAACACAGCAAAUGCUAAUGCAUUAAUAAAUCGAAACAGAGGUAUAAACAUAUGUGAAAAUAUAAUUUUAAUUACCACUGAGUUCUUACCUUUGGUUGCUUAAGCGCUAUACCUGUGUCUUCCAGAAACAGAAGUCAGUGGUGUAUCCAAAGCAAACAGGGAUAUAGUGUAAAUCUGGACAUUGUCAAAAUCCAGGUCCUAAUUUUUAAAAGAAAUAAAUACACUGAUCUUUUUCCUUUCUUUAAACACGCACGAACAGCUAGUUUUCUUAAUCAUUCCCAAGGAAAGAAACAGUUCUGUGGCAUUGACAAAGGAGGAUUUUCAUGAGCCAGUAUUGGAUUUGCGGAUUUAUAUACAGAUGAAAAUAACAGCAAAGCACCAUUAUCCUUUGCUAGAGCCCAGGCUUAUUAAUAUGUGACAGAUUUAGGAACAAAAGGGGUUUUCUCAUACUAUACCUCUUAACAAAUUUGCAGUUAAACUUAACCCAAGGUAAUAUUGGCUAAUGAAUUUUAUUAAAGUUCUAUUUUCAAUUCAUCCAGCAUUACAAUCUGGAUAGAAUUAUAGGUUUUUACAAAUUACGACUAAAAUUUUAAAUAUAGUACCAUCAUAAUAAAACAGUUAAAAUAUAAAUAAGGUAUACUUAUUUAUUCAUUGACCCAUUUAAUGUGUGUUUUGUGGAAGAGCUGCAUGUCUGAAACAUAUCUAGUCAGAAAUAAAAUUGGAUGAGUCUGAGAGUCCCUGAAAGAAUAAGGCAUACUUUAGGUGUGGCAAUAAGAUAUGCCAGUUAGUGUCCGAAUAUUAUUCUAAUGACCAAACAGUAAAUUUUCCUCAGAGUUUUUAAUGCAAUAUUUGAUAGUUUACAUACUCACUAAGGGCUUCCCUGGUUGCUCAGCUAGUAAAGAAUCUGUCUGCAAUGCAGGAGUCCGUGGUUCAGUUCCUGGGUUAGGAAGAUCUCCUGGAGAAGGGAAUGGCUAUCCACUCCAUAUUCUGGCCUGGAGAAUUCCAUGGACUGUAUAGUCCAUGGGAUCACAAAGAGUUGGACAUGACUGAGCAACUUUCACUUCACUUCACAUACUCACAAGACUUUUUUUCUGAUUUAUUACUGUAGACCUCCUUAAUAUGCUUAGUUAGAGAUCUCUUCUUGGAAGUAAGGAUUUUUCAGAAAAUUAUACUUGUCUAAUAAUAAAGAACCUUUUGUUCUUAAAUUCAAUGUUCACUUUACUUCCAUCUCUCUUACAGGAACUACAGCUACCUUUAGGUUGGGGUGUUGUCUGUGACACCAUGCUAAGUUUACACGCAGAGGUUUGGGAGUCACAGGCNNNNNNNNAACCUCAGCUCCAAGUUCACGAGCUCUGAGACUAGAGCAUGAUAGUGAACACUCUGGGCCUCAGUUUCCAUUUCCAUGAAAUGGACAUGAUAAUACCUUGCAGAUUUGAGGAUUAAAAUGAGAUAUAGUAAUAUGAAGAGUUUAUUACACUUCCUAAAGCAUGGUAAACACUUAAUAAGUGACUAUUAAACAUUUUUAAAGAUAAAUAGCAGAGUUAAACUUUAUUUUACANNNNNNNNNNNNNNNNNNNNNNNNNNNNNNNNNNNNNNNNNNNNNNNNNNNNNNNNNNNNNNNNNNNNNNNNNNNNNNNNNNNNNNNNNNNNNNNNNNNUUUAUUUUACAAUAAUUGGUCUACUAUCAGAAAUGUGUAUGCUUUCUUUUAAAAGUUGAAAAUAUAUUUUCCUGGAAAUUCCCUGGCUGUCCAGUGGUUAGGACUCCACACUUCUAGUGCCAGGAGCCCAGAUUCCAUCCGUGGUCAGGGCACUAAGAUCCUACAAGUCACGUGGCAUGGCCAAAAAGAAGUAAAAAAAAAAAAACAUUUUCUGCUCAGGAAAUAUCUUACAGUUACUUAGAGCAAUCUUUUUCUAAUCUUACCUCAUACACCAAGUGAAAGUCACGCCAGAGCUUUGUGACUGACCCCAUGGACUGUACAGUUCAUGUAAUUUUCCAGGCCAGAAUACUGGAGUGGACAGGCUUUCCCUCCUCCAGAGGAUCUUCCCAACCCAGGGAUCAAACCCAGGGCUUCCACACUGCAGGCAGAUUCUUUACCAGCUGAGCCAUAAGAGAAGCCCCAAAAUACUAGAAUGGGUAGCCUAUCCCUUCUCCAGUGGAUUUUCCCAACCCAAGAAUCAAACUGGGUCUCCUGCAUUGCAGGCAGAUUCUUUACCAAUGAGCUAUGAGGGAAGCCCAAAGAUGUAACUAAAACAAAUAUACCUAAAAAUAAAACGAGAUGACAAGAUUAGGAACUUGUUCCCUCAUAGUGCCAUUCAUUUUCCCCUGGAUUGCUUGUUAAUUGAAAUAC